rnacentral:rRNA from 1 species
UACGGGGGGAGCAAGCGUUGUUCGGAUUUACUGGGCGUAAAGGGCGCGUAGGCGGUCAGCACAAGUCAGUUGUGAAAUCUCCGGGCUUAACUCGGAAAGGUCAACUGAUACUGCGCGGCUAGAGUGCGGAAGGGGCAACUGGAAUUCUCGGUGUAGCGGUGAAAUGCGUAGAUAUCGAGAGGAACACCUGCGGCGAAGGCGGUUCUCUGGGACGGUACUGACGCUGAGACGCGAAAGCGUGGGGAGCGAACAGG